rnacentral:tRNA from 1 species
GGGGGUGUAGCUCAGUUGGUAGAGCGCCUGCCUUGCACGCAGGAGGUCGCAGGUUCGAUCCCUGUCACCUCCACCA